CGAACGAACACGCGCACGCACACACACACACACACACACACACACACACACACACACACACACACACACACACACACACACACACACACACACACACACACACACACACACACACAGAAUGUCAGAUAGGAUGAAGUCCUGAUUGUUAGUUAUAGUCAGUAUCUAAGUUUAGAAGAGAAGAAGAGUUCAUUCAGUCUGGUACUCAGGGGGAGGGGCCCUGAAGAGGUCAUUCAGUCAGGCUCUCAGGGGGAGGGGCCCUGAAGAGGUCAUUCAGUCAGGCUCUCAGGGGGAGGGGCCCUGAAGAGGUCAUUCAGUCAGGCUCUCAGGGGGAGGGGCCCUGAAGAGGUCAUCCAGUCAGGCUCUCAGGGGGAGGGGCCCUGAAGAGGUCAUUCAGUCAGGCUCUCAGGGGGAGGGGCCCUGAAGAGGUCAUUCAGUCAGGCUCUCAGGGGGAGGGGCCCUGAAGAGGUCAUUCAGUCAGGCUCUCAGGGGGAGGGGCCCUGAAGAGGUCAUUCAGUCAGGCUCUCAGGGGGAGGGGCCCUGAAGAGGUCAUUCCGUCUGGCUCUCAGGGGGAGGGGCCCUGAAGAGGUCAUUCCGUCUGGCUCUCAGGGGGAGGGGCCCUGAAGAGGUCAUUCCGUCUGGCUCUCAGGGGGAGGGGCCCUGAAGAGGUCAUUCUGUCUGGCUCUCAGGGGGAGGGGCCCUGAAGAGGUCAUUCCGUCUGGCUCUCAGGGGGAGGGGCCCUGAAGAGGUCAUUCAGUCUGGCUCUCAGGGGGAGGGGCCCUGAAGAGGUCAUUCAGUCUGGCUCUCAGGGGGAGGGGCCCUGAAGAGGUCAUUCAGUCUGGCUCUCAGGGGGAGGGGCCCUGAAGAGGUCAUUCAGUCUGGCUCUCAGGGGGAGGGGCCCUGAAGAGGUCAUUCAGUCUGGCUCUCAGGGGGAGGGGCCCUGAAGAGGUCAUUCAGUCUGGCUCUCAGGGGGAGGGGCCCUGAAGAGGUCAUUCAGUCUGGCUCUCAGGGGGAGGGGCCCUGAAGAGGUCAUUCAGUCUGGCUCUCAGGGGGAGGGGCCCUGAAGAGGUCAUUCAGUCUGGCUCUCAGGGGGAGGGGCCCUGAAGAGGUCAUUCAGUCAGGCUCUCAGGGGGAGGGGCCCUGAAGAGGUCAUUCAGUCAGGCUCUCAGGGGGAGGGGCCCUGAAGAGGUCAUUCAGUCAGGCUCUCAGGGGGAGGGGCCCUGAAGAGGUCAUUCAGUCAGGCUCUCAGGGGGAGGGGCCCUGAAGAGGUCAUUCAGUCAGGCUCUCA